rnacentral:rRNA from 1 species
AUUGAACGCUGGCGGCAGGCCUAACACAUGCAAGUCGAGCGGAUGAAGGGAGCUUGCUCCUGGAUUCAGCGGCGGACGGGUGAGUAAUGCCUAGGAAUCUGCCUGGUAGUGGGGGAUAACGUCCGGAAACGGGCGCUAAUACCGCAUACGUCCUGAGGGAGAAAGUGGGGGAUCUUCGGACCUCACGCUAUCAGAUGAGCCUAGGUCGGAUUAGCUAGUUGGUGGGGUAAAGGCCUACCAAGGCGACGAUCCGUAACUGGUCUGGGAGGAUGAUCAGUCACACUGGAACUGGGACACGGUCCAGACUCCUACGGGAGGCAGCAGUGGGGAAUAUUGGACAAUGGGCGAAAGCCUGAUCCAGCCAUGCCGCGUGUGUGAAGAAGGUCUUCGGAUUGUAAAGCACUUUAAGUUGGGAGGAAGGGCGGUAAGUUAAUACCUUGCUGUUUUGACGUUACCAACAGAAUAAGCACCGGCUAACUUCGUG